rnacentral:rRNA from 1 species
CCUACGGGUGGCAGCAGUGGGGAAUAUUGGACAAUGGGCGAAAGCCUGAUCCAGCCAUGCCGCGUGUGUGAAGAAGGCCUUCGGGUUGUAAAGCACUUUCAGUGGGGAAGAAAGCCUUGGGGCUAAUACCCUCGAGGAAGGACAUCACCCACAGAAGAAGCACCGGCUAACUCCGUGCCAGCAGCCGCGGUAAUACGGAGGGUGCGAGCGUUAAUCGGAAUUACUGGGCGUAAAGCGCGCGUAGGCGGUCUGAUAAGCCGGUUGUGAAAGCCCCGGGCUCAACCUGGGAACGGCAUCCGGAACUGUCAGGCUAGAGUGCAGAAGAGGAAGGUAGAAUUCCCGGUGUAGCGGUGAAAUGCGUAGAGAUCGGGAGGAAUACCAGUGGCGAAGGCGACCUUCUGGACUGACACUGACGCUGAGGUGCGAAAGCGUGGGUAGCAAACAGGAUUAGAUACCCUAGUAGUC